UGCGGGGUGGAGCAGCUCGGUAGCUCGUCAGG
rnacentral:tRNA from 2 species